rnacentral:rRNA from 1 species
CACGUAGGGUGCAAGCGUUAAUCGGAAUUACUGGGCGUAAAGCGUGCGCAGGCGGUUUUGUAAGCCAGAUGUGAAAGCCCCGGGCUUAACCUGGGAAUGGCAUUUGGGACUGCAAGGCUGGAGUGUGGCAGAGGAGACGUGGAAUUCCUGGUGUAGCAGUGAAAUGCGUAGAUAUCAGGAGGAAUACCGAUGGCGAAGGCAGGUCUCUGGGCUGACACUGACGCUCAUGCACGAAAGCGUGGGGAGCAAACAGG